rnacentral:rRNA from 1 species
GAGUUCCUACGGGAGGCAGCAGUGAGGAAUAUUGGUCAAUGGGCGGGAGCCUGAACCAGCCACGCCGCGUGAAGGAAGAAGGCGCCAAGCGUCGUAAACUUCUUUUUUCGGGGAACAAAGGGCGCCACGUGUGGCGUUGUGAGUGUACCCGAAGAAACCGCAUCGGCUAACUCCGUGCCAGCCGCCGCGGUCCUACGGAGGCUGCGAGCGUUAUCCGGAUUUAUUGGGUUUAAAGGGUGCGUAUGCGGUCCGGAAAGUCAGCGGGAAAAGCCCGGGGCUCAACCCCGGCGAGCCGUUGAAACUGC